rnacentral:rRNA from 1 species
AGAGGGUGCGAGCGUUAAUCGGAAUAACUGGGCGUAAAGCGCGUGUAGGUGGACGUUCAAGUCAGAGGUGAAAUCCCCGGGCUCAACCUGGGAACUGCCUCUGAAACUGUGUGUCUAGAGUAUGGGAGAGGGAAGUGGAAUUUCCGGUGUAGCGGUGAAAUGCGUAGAUAUCGGAAGGAACACCAGUGGCGAAGGCGGCUUCCUGGCCUAAUACUGACACUGAGACGCGAAAGCGUGGGUAGCGAACAGGGAUUAGAUACCCUGGUAGUCCACGCCGUAAACGAUGAGAACUAGACGUUGGGAGCCGAGAGUUCCUUAGUGUCGUAGCUAACGCGUUAAGUUCUCCGCCUGGGGAGUACGGCCGCAAGGCUA